rnacentral:rRNA from 1 species
UACGUAGGUGGCGAGCGUUGUCCGGAUUUACUGGGCGUAAAGAGCGCGCAGGCGGUCGUGCAAGUCGCGUGUGAAAGCCCCCGGCUCAACUGGGGAGGGUCACGCGAUACUGCUCGACUUGAGGGCAGGAGAGGGAAGUGGAAUUCCCGGUGUAGUGGUGAAAUGCGUAGAUAUCGGGAGGAACACCAGUGGCGAAGGCGACUUCCUGGCCUGUUCUUGACGCUGAGGCGCGAAAGCUAGGGUAGCAAACGGG